CCUACGGGAGGCAGCAGUGGGGAAUUUUCCGCAAUGGGCGAAAGCCUGACGGAGCAAUACCGCGUGAGGGAGGAAGGCUCUUGGGUUGUAAACCUCUUUUGUCAGGGAAGAAGAUCUGACGGUACCUGACGAAUCAGCAUCGGCUAACUCCGUGCCAGCAGCCGCGGUAAUACGGGGGAUGCAAGCGUUAUCCGGAAUUAUUGGGCGUAAAGCGUCCGCAGGUGGUUGUUCAAGUCUGCUGUUAAAGCAUGGGGCUUAAUUCCAUAUAGGCAGUGGAAACUGGACGACUAGAGUACGGUAGGGGUCGCGGGAAUUCCCAGUGUAGCGGUGAAAUGCGUAGAUAUUGGGAAGAACACCAUGGCGAAAGCGCGCGGCUGGACCUGUACUGACACUGAGGGACGAAAGCUAGGGGAGCGAAAGGGAUUAGAUACCCCUGUAGUCCUAGCUGUAAACGAUGGAUACUAGGUGUUGCCCGUAUCGACCCGGGCAGUGCCGUAGCUAACGCGUUAAGUAUCCCGCCUGGGGAGUACGCACGCAAGUGUGAAACUUAAAGAUAGUAGACGNUAGACUGCGACGAGCACAGGGAGUAGG
rnacentral:rRNA from 1 species